CUUGCCCUAAAAAACGCGGGAUGCCCCCAGUCAGCGGGGCCGGGGGCGGGGGGGAGCCGCAAGGAUUUUCGCCUCCUGCCCGUCAAACAGCGCUGGUGCUCUGCCAGGUAACACUGAAGACCCUCACGUGUGUUUUGCAGCUGUGUACCAGCAUGGUAAUGCUUCCAGCAGAUCCUUCAACACUCGGCACACACGCACAUCGAGAGAGUCUGAUUAAUAUUCUUGAUCCUAUAUGAUGAUGGGGUUUGGACAAACAGAGAAGUGGAUGUCUACAGCCAUCUCAACUUUCCAAAGAGGCACGUAAAUGAAGCCUGCUGUACAUGUUCUUAUUUCUUAUCAGAUAGAUCCAGAAAGAAACAACAGAGAAAGGGAUAGACUUGGACACAUCAUUUCAUUACGCUGGAAUUCCUUACAAGAGGAACUGUGAUACCACAAUCUUCUUCAAAGUGUCUUCUGGAGCAUGUGAAAUGGCAAUGAGCAGUGACUGAUAUUACAUUUGCAUUAUUUACAACUCUUUAAAAGGCAGAUUUAAAUUAUUCUUUUAGUUACUAUGGUAAUCUAGGAGACCUUUGCAGCCUCCAGCUUUUCUGAGUAAGGAAUGAACUGUUGCUUUAAAGCAUUUUCAAUAUUGCUAGAGAAGAUUAUUUAUGAUGCUUUUUUUUUUUUUUAAUCUUUUCCUUUUAUAUUUGUUUGGCUGGCAACACAUUAGAUUGCUGUCAUCUGGAGUGGUGACUUCAAUAUAAUAAUUCUGGCAACAGAUCUGUAGACAGCAUGGGUUAAAGAUGCUCAGACUUUUAUCCUCAUGUGUAAUGAUGUAAACCUAGAUUUGCCUGAUAUCAGAUCAUAAAGGUACUCCUGAUUAAUAAAAUAUGAGGUAAAAAUUUUGAAUUUAUUUUAUUAUAACAUUACAUAGACUUUUGCUUUUUUUGGUUGUUGGUAUGUCUUCACUGGAAGAUUUACACUGGAGAUAAGAUUUAAGUUACCCUUACAGAUGCUCUUUUUCUGUUGAGAAUUAUGAUAAAUGCUUACAACUACCUCUGAACUUCACUGAAUAGUACUAAACAUUCGUAAACUGCUUUAAAACAUCACUCUAUUACUCAAUUUUCAUGCAACCUGUACGCAAACGAACAGAUUUUUUGAAAGAACUACAUAGCUAUGAAAAGUAGCGGACUGGGAGAGCCCUGAGAUCUUGACUUGCAGAGCAGGUGCAAGGCCGAGCAGCGCAGCCCUGCAGGUCACUGUACAUGGUCUCACCAUUCUGCCCAAACCUCAGACGAAUGCGUCAGCAGGCUUAAGAAGGCAUUUCUGUCUCUGUGCUCCUCUACCUGCUUACUGCCCAGAAAUCUGAGUUAUUUGUUAGGUCUGGUGGAAGUUUUGUGAUACACCCACCAGCCUUCAGGGAAAUCAGCCUGAUAUCACCUCAGCUGUUUUAGGGAAUGGUCAUGCUGACGAUAGCAGCUUUCAGUAAUUACUGACCUGGAUUUGAUUGGAAUCACAGAUCAGAGGAUUAGCUUUAAACUUGAUUUAUAGUUGGGUUUUUUCUUGUUUGAAUAUCAGUGGAUAUAAUUCGUAUUCCUUUCAUCCUGGGCACAUCUUCCAGUGUUGAUUAGAAAUUAUAAUUUCAAUAAAAAUAUAUAUUUAUAAA